GGGAAGGAAGAGUGGAUGAAUGAUCAGGAUUGAGGGCAGGUGGGGAGAGUCUGGGGAGGGGGGGGGAGGAAGCCCGGUUGGGGAGAGAAUGAUCGAGGAAUAGGGUAGGGUUGAGGUGAGCAGGGGAAUAGAAAAGCGGGAUGGGGGGGACGGGUAGGGGGAACCGCCCAGGGGGGGAGGGGGGGGUAGGGUGUAGGGGAGGGGAGGAAGGGAGGGUGGAAAUGAGAGGUAUAGAAAAGAAGAAAUACAACAGAAAAUAAACGUAGAGGAAAAGAAAUGUAGAGAAAAAGAGAUAUAGAGUCCGGGCGGUGCAGCCUCCACCACCGAGCGCCGAGGAGCAAAUGGCUCCGCCGGGCCCUCACUGCGCCUUAAAUACCCCAAGGCCCCGCCCCGCGCAGGCGCGCUGCGGCCCCGGCCCCGCCCCCCCGGCCAUAAAUCCCGGCGGAGCGGGCCCGUCCCGGUUCCUGCGGGGGAUGCUCAGCACGGGAUACCGAGGGACCGCCGCUCGGAGAUCCGGAUCGGGGCUGCUCCCGGCACUGCGCGGCGUCCAAGGCGCUCAGAGCCAUAAGGAUCAUCACUGAGAAAUGACUGGCCCAGCUGCACGUGGAACACAGAAUUUUGGCCUUCUCAGCAGCCUGCUGCAAGCACCUGAGCCAAUCCCAGGAUCAUGAUGAAUGACUGCUGCCAGUAAGAGAACUCCUAAAGAAAUGCAGCUCCUUCCCUUCUGCUAACACUGCUUUACACGCCAGCCCCUGCAAUGGCUGCAGGCAGAACUGCUGGCACCUGACAUGACAGCACCACACUCUUCCCCAUAACCCUGAUCCUUCUGUCCUUUCCAGGAUUCACCCAGCUGUAAAUGUGCUCAUGCCACGUCCCUUUGCAGGGAGAAACAAUCAAGUCCUGAGGGUUACCCUGUUCCAUGGCUGAAGUUCUUCUGGAGAAUGGCAGAGAGCAUUUCCUGCAGGUGAGUGCUGCCAGGCCAAAACGAUGGAGGCUGCUGAGGCCAGGGCUGAUUUUCUAGCCCAGAGGCCUGGGCGUCUCCUGCUCACUGCCAGCAGUGUUCCUUGGUGUUCCCUCAGGGCAGGGGGAGGCCAGAAGCCCCCAAAGGCAGCAGCACCUCUUGUCCUUGGGAUCUGCAGGGCACUGCCUGCACCGUGGCUGCUCUGCCAGGCACACGGAGAUGCUGCAGCCCAGAAGGACCCCAAGGAGCAGCUGGCAUUACCUGGGAAUGGAGGCACAGGCCGUGUGCAGAGAGGCUCAGACAGCAGUUCCUGGUUUAGAGCUCCCACACAGCUGCCAGAUAUUAAAUUCCAAGCAAUAGCCCUCAGAGAUACCUGAAAAUCAGAGGAUGGAGUGGGAUGACGUUUGGAGUUUUUCAGCUGAAGUGCAGGUGCAGAAGUGGUGGAAAGCUUUCACAGAUGGGUCCCACUGGAGGUGCACUGAAGACAGGGACGUGGAUCUCUUUCCUGAGGGAAAAGAACUUGUGGAGGCCACUGCUGAGGCUGUGAAAGGAGCUGAGCUCCUGCAGGGAGAGCUGUCCCCGGCUGGGCACAGGGGCUGCCCCAGCUCAUCCAGCCACUGCCUCCUCCUGCUUUGGAACAUCAGCUGGAGCCUGAGCCCAGGGGAGUGAACAUCAGCUCAGUUCCAUCAGCUCUGUCAAGUGAUCCUAGGGACAUCACUGGGGUCAGGGUUAUAAACAGCCAGCUCUAUGGAACGUAAACCUGUCCUUGUCCCAGUGCUGCUCAGCUUCCUGGGAAGCUCUGCUGCUUCCUGACACAGCUGGUGCUCGAGGCAGCAGCUCUGCAUGGGAAUAUCCACACUCCAUGAGGCACUGUGCGGUUACUACAGUAGGAAUGGAGCAGGGAAUUUGGGGCUAUGGAUGUAAUUCAUCAGAACUAGCAAAGCUGAAAGAGAACCCCAAAUCUGGGCACCACACAGAGAACCAUCUUUGUCCUGCCCUGUCAGCUCAAACCCCUGGGCUGGGAAGUUUUGGGAAUUAAAGCUAUGGAAUUAUACAAAUCACAGCAAGCGGUGUCACCCAGAGGGACAAUCCAGGUCCCAGACAAUUCCUCUGCAAUCCACUAUGGGGGAAAACACCCUGUGCCUGCCAGGAGUUCUGACUCUGCUUUGCCUACCAGCUCCUAAGCAGUGUCAGGGCCACCAUGAGAGCUUUGAAAUCCAAAUAAGCCCCAUGUCCCACUCCGUGAAUAAUCCAAAUUAAAAAAUGCAUUAUGUCAUCAAAAGCUCAAAACUGUGUUAAGAGUUCCAUGGCAACACAGUAAUGGGAUUCCCAGGAAUCAUUAAUGCUCUUGGCUAAUAUUUGUGAUGUAUUUUCAAUCCCUCAGUGUGCAGUCUGUAAAACUGAUCAUGGGAUUUAGAGGUUGAGCAGGGUUGGCUUUGGCUUGACCUUCACCUCUGGCCCCAGUCUGUGCCAACACAACUUGUGCCAGGGUGAGUGAACUCAUCGCCUCAGCGUUUCCCUCCUAAAUAUCCCCUGCUUGUUUCACUGCAGAUAAACUCAGAUUUUGCCCCAAACCAUCCACUCCUCACCUCUGUGUGACCUCCAAGUGUCUGUUCUGUCCCUCACAGGUGCCCUGGUGACAGCACCGUGGUCCCUUUGCCUUUCUCCAGCUCGAGGCCGCUCCUCUGCUCGCUCUCUCCAGUCUCAUCCCACAGGGAUCCUCUUCUCCCUUCCCUGCUGCCAAGGAAGGAGGACACAGUGAGCAAUGACCUCAGCAAUUCCCUCAAAAAUGCCACCUCACCCCCCUAGCAUCCCCUCACACUUUCCUACACAAACAGUUCUUGUGUCCCCUCUAAAGUACACCAGGUUUUCAGCUAAAUGAAUGCCAUAAUCUACUGCUCAUGAUUCACCCAACCAAAAUCAAGAGCAAAUGUUGGUUGGGCUUUAAGGACUUGAAAUGACUUUGAAGCAAAAUAAAUCACCUUUUUCUUCUCUUUUCUUCUGUUUCAGAUGCUGGACUUACUUCUGUGGAUGUGUGCUGAGCUCUUGCUGGAGGGGACUGUCAGGCCCCAAUGGCUGUGAGUUCGUGUUCUUCUCCCUGGGGAAUCAGAAAUUCCCCCUGUCCCCUUUUCCCAGGCUGUUCCAUGUGGCUGUUGUCAGGCUGUGGCAGCACAGGCAGAUGCAGCUCUCAGCAUUCUCUGCUCCAAACACAACUCUGGCCUCCAUUGCAAACUGCCUCUGCUGUGAGGUUUUCUCCUAGAGGAAUCAAGGAAUUGCUCAUGGCAGGGUGUAGCCAUGAUAUUUUAUGAAAAAUCCUCUGCUAGGAUUCUUCCUGUCCUGAGGAGCUGAGAGCCUCAGGAAAGCAAUGUGAACAAUAACUCUCUGCUGGUGUGGAAUGCAACAGGUGCAUCUUCCAUUGGUCCAUGUGGAUUGUUUUCAGUUAGUGACCAAUCACAGCCACCUGGGCCAAGGCUGUGAGCAGUCACAGGUUUUUGUUAUGCAUUCUAUUCUA